UACAGAGGUCUCGAGCGUUAGGCGGAAUCACUGGGCUUAAAGCGCGUGUAGGCGGGUCGUUAAGUGUCCGCGUGAAAUCCCACGGCUCAACCGUGGAACUGCCGGGCAUACUGGCGAUCUUGAGGCAUUCAGGGGCGAGCGGAACAAAUGGUGGAGCGGUGAAAUGCGUAGAUAUCAUUUGGAACGCCAAUGGUGAAAACAGCUCGCUGGGAAUGAUCUGACGCUGAGACGCGAAAGCCAGGGGAGCGAACGGG
rnacentral:rRNA from 1 species